ensembl:lncRNA
GCCAAGUGAUCGAUGCUGUGCACUGUGAAAUGAAUGUAAAAUUACCACAAUUGAUGGUGCAUCCAAAGCUGUGAAUUGAUUGCUCGUUUCCUUUUAGGCAUUCUGCCUACAGAGAUCGGAGAAGAGGAACUUUUAAUAUGCUCUCCUCUGACAUGGGCUCUGGAAGGAUGUACAAUUCAUGGUCCAGAUCUAUGACCUCCAGCCAGGACACAGCUCUCCUGAAGGCAACCAGACAAGCCCUCAUUUUCCUACAGAGCAGUGGGACUAUCACCAGGUACCUGAGGGUUCCUCCCAGAGGCGGCCGGGAGCAGAGGCUAGCUCAUUCCUGCUGAGACGCACCCAUCUUCAAGAGAAAGUGAGUCAAAGGGUGGCCCUGCAAAUACUGCUACAUGCACUUUGCCCAUCCUCCCACCCCACUCUUCCUCAGAGACCCCUCAGCAUGCUCCAAGUAUCGAGACGUUGACUGUUAAACUCUCAAAGGGGAAGGGACUGCUCUCUUGCUACCAUGCCUGGUUCCAGCUGCCUCCGAACAACUUCCCGGUGCCAGCCCACCACCUCAGGGUCUGAUGGGAGCUAGCUCUGCAUCACAGCUUUGGAGAGAAAAAGGUACAGACGAGAUGCAAUGGCUCCACAUGUCCCCUGCAAAUUGCCCUCUGCUCAUAUGGGAGCCCUCCCUGCAGCUGCUCCCGUGUUCCACAUGUGCAAAUGGGGUGUGGGCCUCCCCUGGGUCACAGUGCUCUGAGUUCUUGUUCCUUUUUUAUUGAAGCCUAUGCAACAUCCAAUGUUCUAUUAGUUUCAGGUGUACAGCAUAUUAAUUCAACAAUUCUAUACAUUAUUCAGUGCUCAUGGCAAGUGUAGUUGCCAUCUGUCACCAUACAACAUUAUUGCAAUAUUAUCGACUAUAUUCCUUAUGCUGUACUCUUUAUCUCCAUGACUUAUUUAUUUCCUAACUGGGAGUUUGUAUCUUCUAAUCCCCUUUAUUUUGCCCAUCCCCCCACACAUCUCCCCUCUCGCAACCACAGUUCAUUCUCCAUAUUCAAGGGUCUGGUUUUUGUUUGUUUUUUAGAUUGCACAUAUAAGUGAAAUCAUAUGGUAUUUGUCUUUUUUUGCCUGACUUAAUUUCUCUUAGCAUAAUACCCUCUAGGUCCAUCCAUGUUGUUGCAAAUGGCAAGAUCUCUCUCUCUCUCUCUCUCUCUCUCUCUCUCUUUUUUUUUCUUAUGGCUGAGUAAUGUUGGAGUGUGUGUGUGUGUGUGUGUGUGUGUGUGUGUGUGUGUGAAUCACAUCUUCUUUAUCCAUUCAUCUAUUAAUGGACACUUGAGCUGCCCCCAUAUCUCGGCUACUGUAAAUGAAGUGGCAAUAAACACAGGGGUGCAUAUAUCUUUUCAAAUUAGUGUUUUUGUAUUCGUUGGGUAAAUACUCAGUAGUGGGAUUAUUGGAUCAUAGGGUAGUUCUAUUUUUAAUUUUUUAGGUAAACUCCUUACCGUUUUCCACAGUGGCUGUACCAGUUUGCAUUCCCAUCAGUAGUGCAUGAAGGUUUUUCUCCACAUCCUUGCCAAAAUUUGUUUCUUGUGAUGCUAGCCAUGCUGACAGGUGUGAGGUGGUAUCUCACUGUGGUGUUGAUUUGCAUUUCCCUGAUGGUGAGUGAUGUUGAACAUCUUUUCAUGUGUCUGUUGGCCAUCUGGAUGUCUUCUUUGGAAAAAUGUCUAUUCAGGUCCCCUGCCCAUUUUAAACUGGAUUAUUUGUGGGGUUUUUUCUCUUUUUUUUUUUAGUGUUGAGUUAUAUAAAUUCUGUAUACAGUUUGGAUAUUACCUCCCUUACCAGGUAUAUCAUUUGCAAAUAUCUUCUCCCAUUCUGUAGGUUGCCUUUUUGUUUUGUUCAUGAUUUCCUUCACUGUGCAAAAGCCUUUUAUUUUCUUGUGGUCCCAAUAGUUUAUUUUCGCUUUUGUUUCCCUUGCUUCAGGAGACAUAUCUAGAAAAAUGUUGCUAAGGUCAAUGUCAAAGAAAUUACUGCCUAUGUUUUCUUCUGGGAGUUUUAUGGUUUCAGGUCUUGCAUUUAGGUCAAUCCAUUUUGAGUUCAUUUUUGUAUAUGGUGUAAGAAAGUGGUUUUGUUUCAUUCCUUUACCUGUGGCUGUCCAGUUUUCCCAGCACCAUUUAUUGACGAGACUGUCUUUCCCCC